UGGGGAAUAUUGCACAAUGGGCGAAAGCCUGAUGCAGCAACGCCGCGUGAGUGAUGAAGGCCUUCGGGUUGUAAAGCUCUGUCUUUUGGGACGAUAAUGACGGUACCAAAGGAGGAAGCCACGGCUAACUACGUGCCAGCAGCCGCGGUAAUACGUAGGUGGCAAGCGUUGUCCGGAUUUACUGGGCGUAAAGGAUGCGUAGGCGGAUUUUUAAGUGAGAUGUGAAAUACCCGGGCUUAACUUGGGUGCUGCAUUUCAAACUGGGAAUCUAGAGUGCAGGAGAGGAGAAUGGAAUUCCUAGUGUAGCGGUGAAAUGCGUAGAGAUUAGGAAGAACACCAGUGGCGAAGGCGAUUCUCUGGACCGUAACUGACGCUGAGGCAUGAAAGCGUGGGUAGCAAACAGGAUUAGAUACCCUGGUAGUCCACGCCGUAAACGAUGAGUACUAGGUGUAGGAGGUAUCGACCCCUUCUGUGCCGCAGUUAACACAAUAAGUACUCCGCCUGGGAAGUACGAUCGCAAGAUUAAAACUCAAAGGAA
rnacentral:rRNA from 1 species